UGGCAUGUACAAACUGUCCGCCUAUUACUGGGCGCGAGUGGGGGCAGAUCUGCCCUUGGAGCUGGCGCUGCCGACUAUCUUUGUUGUGAUUGUGUACUGGCU
rnacentral:SRP_RNA from 1 species